rnacentral:lncRNA from 1 species
UUUUAUACUCAAAAAAUUAUUUAUGAAUUUAUGAUUUUGUAUAUUUCUUAUAAGAACUUAUCUACAUUAAGCAAGUUGGAUAACCCUAAGGAUCCAACAAAUUGUUUUGAUCAGUUUCUUGAGGAAUGAAGAUGGUGAAACAUAUAGAAGAAGAAUAGCGAACAUAAUAGGGUGUGGGUUGUUUUCCUUUAUUGUUAUAUACACUAACCUCAUAUAUGAAUGUUUUCCCUUUAUAUCGUUUGGAACUGUUGUAUCACUCACGAAAUAGUUGUAGUAGAAAGUGUGAUCUUCAUAUGUGUUUUAGUGAAAUUACAUUUGUCAAAAUAAGCUUCCAUUUCUGCUGCAUAAUUUGGAUCGUUUGUGCAUUUGUAUAGACUGACGAAGGGUAGCAUAUUCAAAGAAAGUUAGAAAAGAGAAAACAAAGGAUACUAAAAAGAAGACAUGAACCAUUUCAAAUGUCUAACAAGAAAAGGUUAGACACUUUUUAUUAAAAUUGAUUGAUAUUAUGAUUUUUUUUGGAAUUUAAGGGUAAAAUAGUCUAUUAGUCUCAAUUAGAAGAUUUUUUCAGUGAACAUAGUUAUAUAACUUGCAAUAUUGUUUACCUUUGCAUUGUAAUUUCAUUUAUAGUUUCCAUAUUGUUUGCUAAUGGAUGGGCUACCAAAAGAUGGAAAAAUAGAGGAAGCUGAUUCUUAAGUACAUUUAUUACCCACAAUUCAAGAAGAGCCCGCAAGCUUAUGAUUUUUGGGUUUGAAGGAUCUGGGACAAGUACUAUUUUCAAGAAGAUAUCAUUAUCAUUCAAGCUAAUUUGUAUGUGUGUAGUGUGUGUAUUAAUCUUGUUGAUAAUAUGAAUAUUAAGGAACUUCUUCAAUUUUCUAAAAAAACAAUCUUCCACUUUAAUAUGUUAUGUUCCAUUGUUCAAAUCAUAUAGGUUAUAUAUCCAUCUCAUUGUUCUUAGUUUAUUUUUUCGGUUGGCUUUAUUUGUUUACAGUUAACGUGUCAGGUUCAGAUUUGGAAUUGAAUUCCGAUUCCAAUUCCGAUGACCAUAAUCCUCAUACAAAAUCUAUAGCUAUA